CCUACGGGAGGCAGCAGUGGGGAAUCUUGCGCAAUGGGCGAAAGCCUGACGCAGCGACGCCGCGUGAGUGAUGAAGGUCUUCGGAUCGUAAACCUCUGUCAGCAGGGAAGAACGGUCACUGUGCUAAUCAGCAGUGAAUUGACGGUACCUGCAAAGGAAGCACCGGCUAACUCCGUGCCAGCAGCCGCGGUAAUACGGAGGGUGCGAGCGUUAAUCGGAAUUACUGGGCGUAAAGCGCUCGUAGGCGGUAUGUCAAGUCAAGGGUGAAAGCCCCGCGCUCAACGUGGGAACUGCCUUUGAAACUGGCAAACUGGAGUGUGUGAGAGGAUAGUGGAAUUCCAGGUGUAGGAGUGAAAUCCGUAGAUAUCUGGAGGAACAUCAGUGGCGAAGGCGACUAUCUGGCACAUAACUGACGCUGAGGAGCGAAAGCGUGGGUAGCAAACAGGAUUAGAUACCCCUGUAGUC
rnacentral:rRNA from 1 species